rfam:Burkholderia vietnamiensis G4 chromosome 1, complete sequence.
AAAAGUUCUACGGGGUAGCAGAAAACAAAGCGCGGGGUUGGCGUAGCCGGCACGUAAUCAGCGUGCCGGCCGCGGAGUGUCUGCAUGCACGGCGGGGCCAAACAUCGUCGUACAGCACAUGCAUGCGGCAGAUUUAGCGGUAUAAGCGACGUUCCGUCGUCCGACCGGGGGAAGCAGCAAUCGGGCGGCGGCGGACGUUUUUUCAUC